GCAAUAUUCAUAGUCGUUAUCACUGUUUUGCGCCUGUUAUACAUUUUAUCGAUCACCGGAUACCGAUUAUACCAACGCCUACUGAUAAACAAGGAAAAAAAGUUACUGUAGUAUUAAGCAGUUAAAAAGAGCGUGUAGAUAAUUUAUAUUUAAAAAAUAAAACGGAUAUGGACCUAGUGCUGCUUAUUGGAAUAGCAAUAUUCAUGGCGAUCAUUGCAAUGUUACGUCCGAACCAGAAUGGAGGCUUAGACUGGUGCCUUUACCGAGCCGUAAUAUACUAUAACUUUGCCCUGUUUUGAGUCAAUGCUUGCGCACUUUACUCGGGAUUGGGCUAUGCCUCUAAUUACCAAGGGAAGGAUGAAUUGAACUGGAUAUUUGCUAGGAUUGAGUUGAAAAUUACUAAACGAUUGGAAACCAUCACCAACUGAACAAUUGAAUUUAGGAAGUCUAACAUUUAUGAUAAUUCAGCAAAAAUUAAAGAGUACCUUCACCAAUAAUAAUUUGAUUGUGCUUA